CUGCACUGCACUGCACUUAACGUGGACCGGCGCGAAACACGCUUUUCAUGUCCGAAAGAACUCGAUCGGCAGAACACACCAGGUUACAGGUGCGUCGCGAGUAGAGUGAAUAGAAAAGAAAAAAGAAACUUUAAAAGUUUCUUGGAUGAAGUGUGCGCGCGAAACAGGACAAAAGAGACAAAUGUGGGAAAAUAGAAAGUAAAUUAAUAGAAAAGUUGAAAAAGUAUACGUUUUACAAAUGUAAAAUUGAUGAAUAUGACGACGACGACGACGACGACGAAGAAAAAGAAGAUGAUCCAAAGGACGGAGACAGCCGUGGCUCGUUCCGAAGGAUGGGCCACGGUGCUUCUGACCGGCACGUAAAAUAACGCAACCACUCUCGGCUACCUUCGGCACGGUUCGGGCGUAGCCAGGUGGAAGGCGGAUUAUGGAAGAGGUGGAAAAGUAGCAACGGUAUGAAUCGUGUAUAGAAAUGAUAAACUAGUCAAAUCUACAACAUAUGUCUACGAAAGGUUAAAUCGUUUGUCGCACUCUUCCUCGCGCGUCCUAUCUUUUAUUUCUUUCUAUUUAUUUUUCACUCUUUGCUGAAUUUUCUAAAUGCAUUGUUUUUUUAUCUAUAAACCUUGUCUUUUUACUUUAUUUUUUCAUUGCGUUACGGUAACUUUCGUCCGAUGGAAAUGAUCAAUUUGGAAUUUCAUUCGUUAUUUGUCAUUGACAUUUUAUAGAGAACGUAAUGGUUCCUUUACACAUCAUCCUACUUUCGCGUAUUUAGGAAUAUUAAUUCUUUAUAAAAGAACGAUCAAAAACGUGUCUUAAUCGUAUAUUAAUGAAAAAAAAAAUAAACGAUAUUAUCAUUAACGUUGAAAAUAUAUUUUUUACUUCAUUUUUAAUCGGUUUAUACCAAUUUAUAUACGCGAUUGGAUGUAUACACAGAUUUGUUUCAUUCUUUACAGUACUAUAAUAUACAUACUGAUGCAUAAAGUUGAUGUCAAAAUACAACGAUCGCAUUACCAACUAUGUGUAUUAUUAUAAAGUAACACAUUCAUUCAACGUAAUAUGAAAUGCGUAUUUAUGUAACGAGAAUACUUUUGAUCUGAAAAAGUUCAGGUAGUAUACAUUGCUUUAGUGAUAAUUGUCAUUUUCUUAAGCGAUUAAUCAAAUAUGUUGCCUAAGGGAUGCAGCAGUUAAAAAAUGUUCAUCAAAGAAUCAUAUAAUAAACAUAGACUUAGUUAAAUUAUCUUACGAAUGUACAUAUUUGUACAUAUGGUACUUUUAAAAGCUUCAUAAGUAAUACUUAAUAUACAGCAAUUUUUUCUUCUAAAUAACAUAAUUACAUUAGUCAAUUAAUAGCAUUUGUUGUUAUAUAUAUACAUAUAACAAAAGUAGCAUUUAUAUAUAUUUAUAUAUAUAUAAAAAAAGCACUUAUAAUUUUUUUAAUUCUUAUUACAUUCUUCGUUAACAUACAAAAUAUUGAUGAUAUCAUGUAGAGAUACCAUUAAUGACCUCGACAAAACGAUUAUAAUUAAAUGCUUUAACGUAAUUUGAUUGAACUUUAAAAUACAAUCAAUUUAGAAGAAGAUUAACAACAAAGACAAUAAUAUGUCUUCUAAAAAAAGUUGUAAUAAUUUGUAUAAUAGAAUAAUAUACUUCUUAUCGUAACCAUUUAUACUCAAAUUUCAAUAUGAAAGUCAAUAGUCCUUAUUUUAAAAUUUAGUUUAAUGACCAUUUUUUACUUUCAGGUACGAGACAAGCAUAUAGAUAAUUGAUGAAUAAUCAAUUAGAAGAAAAAUAGUAUGAAAGGUUUAAUGUAAUGAUAUAACACAUACAUUGAAUCCUUAACAUACAUAUAACAUUACAUGAAUCUCUAAUAUUAAGAUUUUUAUGUCAUUUUGUUGACAUAUAUAUUUUGUUAUUACGAUUUUUGCAUAACAAUUUAUGACACCUAGUUUUAUGGAAGCACGAGAGAGAAGACUAUUGUGUCUAUAAAAUAGUAAGUUUUAGAAACUAUCAUGAGUUUUGGAAGGAUGUGAUGCUUAUUGUUUUUUCAUCUUUCAUGCUGAAAUAAGUGAAUUUAUGACUACUAAAUGAAAAGACGAA